CUCCUUAGACUAUUCUCGCUCUUUACCUUUUAAAAUCUACUUUGGUGAGAGAAUUUGGAAUUUGGAAUUCACCACAUGGAAGAAUCUAAGAAACCUGCCUACUUAUCAGCACUACUUUGUUGUUCUUCACAAUUAGUUGGAGCUUUCUUUGGUCAACAGCAGAUGUGACUAAGAAAAUCACGCUGUUUCACUUAGAGCAGUGGGUCACCAAGUGUGGUCCUUAGGCCACACAGCUCAGCAUCACCUAGGAACUAGGAAAUGCAAGUUCUUAAGCAAUCCCACCCAGACCUACUGAAUUGGAAGUGCUGAGGAUGGGGUCCAGCAAUCUGUGGUUGAACAAGCUCUGCAGGCAUCCAGGAGCAGAGCUGUGGGGCAGCAGAAUCUGUGAUGACAGAGAAUGAUGAUGUAUUUUUGCCAGCAGAUGCUUUUGCUCCUGUUUUGAUACCCCAAUAUUCGGAUGCAGAAAAGGACUCUGAGCAUUGCUGAUGGGUGUGCUCUGCACACCUAUCUCUUCAGGAUCUGAAUAAUUUGGUGGAAAGACAAUGCCUUUUCUGGAAAAGGGUGUCAGGUCAGUCAUAUUGGAGGAUGCAAAUUUCCUUAUGUGAUGGGAGUGAGGGUUGGGGUAGGGCACUUCACGAAGCAUUCAGCAGUCUGCAAUUAAGCAUCACUCCAAGGCUUUCUGCAUAGGUGAUGGCUGUUUCUGCAUCAUGGGGCAAACCAGGUGCUAGAACUUCAAAUGCCAAUUACCAAAGGCGCUUCCUGUGGAGGAAACCUCUCUACAACUCACCUGACCCAGAAGGCACACAUUUUUUUCUGGGUUAACAUAAAUGCUAAAAUUGAAGAAAUGAAACAUUCUAAAGGCAGGAUCAUGUAGGUGAGAUCCUUUGCCUCCUAAGC